AGCGAACGCUGGCGGCAGGCCUAACACAUGCAAGUCGAACGAACCUUUCGGGGUUAGUGGCGGACGGGUGAGUAACACGUGGGAACGUGCCUUUAGGUUCGGAAUAACUCAGGGAAACUUGUGCUAAUACCGAAUGUGCCCUCCGGGGGAAAGAUUUAUCGCCUUUAGAGCGGCCCGCGUCUGAUUAGCUAGUUGGUUGAGGUAAUGGCUCACCAAGGCGACGAUCAGUAGCUGGUCUGAGAGGAUGAUCAGCCACACUGGGACUGAGACACGGCCCAGACUCCUACGGGAGGCAGCAGUGGGGAAUUUUCCGCAAUGGGCGAAAGCCUGACGGAGCAAUGCCGCGUGGAGGUGGAAGGCCUACGGGUCGUCAACUUCUUUUCUCGGAGAAGAAACAAUGACGGUAUCUGAGGAAUAAGCAUCGGCUAACUCUGUG
rnacentral:rRNA from 1 species